rnacentral:rRNA from 1 species
UACCAGCACCCCGAGUGGUCGGGACGUUUAUUGGGCCUAAAAGCAUCCGUAGCCGGUUCUACAAGUCUUCCGUUAAAUCCACCUGCUUAACAGAUGGGCUGCGGAAGAUACUAUAGAGCUAGGAGGCGGGAGAGGCAAGCGGUACUCGAUGGGUAGGGGUAAAAUCCGUUGAUCCAUUGAAGACCACCAGUGGCGAAGGCGGCUUGCCAGAACGCGCUCGACGGUGAGGGAGUG